rnacentral:tRNA from 2 species
AUUAGCUCAGUUGGUAGAGCAUCUGACUUUUAAUCAGAGGGUCAGAGGUUCGAAUCCUCUAUGGCUCACCA